rnacentral:rRNA from 1 species
UACGAAGGGGGCUAGCGCUGUUCGGAAUCACUGGGCGUAAAGCGUACGUAGGCGGAUCGUUAAGUCAGGGGUGAAAGCCUGGAGCUCAACUCCAGAACUGCCUUUGAUACUGGCGAUCUUGAGUUCGGGAGAGGUGAGUGGAACUGCGAGUGUAGAGGUGAAAUUCGUAGAUAUUCGCAAGAACACCAGUGGCGAAGGCGGCUCACUGGCCCGAUACUGACGCUGAGGCACGAAAGCGUGGGGAGCAAACAGG